CCCGCGCGCCCGAUCCUCCCCCGUGCGCCCCGCGCGCUCCAUCCUCCCCGCGCUCCCGAUCCUCUCCUUGCGCCCGGUGCCCGGCCAUCCCCGUGCGCCCGGCCCCCCCCGCACGCCCGAUCCUCCCCGCGCGCCCGGUGCCUGGCCCUCUCCGCGCGCUGCGUCCUCCCUGCGCGCCGUGCACCCGGCCCCUCGCGCCCCGCGCGGCGCCCUGGGGAGCGGAGCGGGCCUCGCCGCUUCCCCGCUGCAGCCGAAGGCAGCUCUCGACGAGCCCCUCCAGGCCGAUGUCUUUCCAUCGUCAGCCCUCGCGUGGUGCGUGGCGCUCCGCUCUGCCCCCUUCGCCGUCUUCCCCUCCUGCAGGCCAGCUCCCCUCCGAGCUGGGGGUCGGCAGCUUUUUGAGAACUUUAUAGUUAAACGCCCCCACUUGCAAGCGAACCCUAGUACACGGAACUGCAACAGGAAUACUUUGAAUCCUUCGGCUUCACUGCUUCCAGUAACUGGACACGCAUAACUAGGAGGCUGUGAGGGGUCAACCACGCCUUGAUUCCAGUCUCAGCCCAGUGAAGGUUAACUCUGUGACCUGGCGUCAAGUUAUUUCCACUUCUUUCAGAUUGAAAGAUGGAAAUAAUUACCUUUUCCUGAAGACGAGUAAAUAAAAUAUUACUUUUUCAUGUUCUUUUUUUGAGGAAAGUUAGCCCAGAACUAACAUCUGCUGCCAAUCCUCCUCUUUUUGCUGAGGAAGAUUGGCCUUGAGCUAACAUCUGUGCCCAUCUUCCUCUAUUUUAUAUGUGGGACGCCGGUCACAGCGUGGCUUCACCAGCAGUGCAUAGGUCAGUGCCCAGAAUCCAAACCUGUGAACCCCAAGCCGCCAAAGUGGCACACGAGAAUUUAACCACUACUCCAUCCAGCCAGCCCCUCAUGUUCUAAAUUAAGCAAAAUUCAUACUUCAUCAGUUGUACAUCCUGUAACUUCUAUCUAAGUAGUUAGGUAUGUUUUACCAUUUUACAGCUGGUGGUUUGUAGAAAUAUCACAAUGUAAAUUAGAGACGACUGGAAAAAAAAACACAAAACUUAAUCAUGUCAUGUCGAUGAUUAAUUUGUUUUCAUUUCCUGUAUAAAACUUUUGAAAUGCAUUUCUGUAGUUACUGCAUAACCAAACCUUUAUUACUGAUGCCCGGCUCGUGAUAUCAUAGGCAAUUAUACUGUUUUGACAUCUAAAUACAUACAGAGAUUGUAUUGUCAGAACAAUCAUAUCAUCUGAAUCUUUGCGGUUGAUUGUUUAGCCCCUGAAGGUUAGAAUCUACUUUUAUCACUUUCAGAAUCUAAUAUUUUAAUUCCUUUUAUGGAUAUUCUGUGUAUUUCCCUGCUUCUUGAUUCUUUCGAGUGAUGUGUGAACUAUACAAAAAGCAAAACCAAUACCCCCAUCUGUUUCUUAACGUGUCUUGAGAUAAUCAGCUGCUGUAUUAAGAGAUUUUCACACCUGUGAUGAGGCAGCAGCUCACGAACCAAUUCUGGGCCCAGUACGGCUUCAGGAUGGGGUUUCAUCAGUAUUUUGCCCCUGGGGUUCUACCUGGGAUGAUCCAGUGUGAUGUGAUGCAAAGGAAAAGAUGGUGAGGCUCAGGUGGGGAGUGGAGUUGCCAACGGUAACAAGCCGCGUGGAAGUUUUCCAGGUAUCACAUCCAAAGACAGCAAAGAGAGAGUGAUGCUCAUGUACUAACAGGCUUGCUGUUCUUCACCAGUAAAGACAGUGAUAAAGGGUCCUAAAGCGAACCAUGAAAACCUUACAAAACAUACAGCCUAGAUUAACUGUAAGAAAGGGUUCCUAACCUUGCAGAGUCGGCUUUCAAAUAGCCUUCUCGAAUGAAAUUGUGAAGUGGAAUUGAGCUCAUCUCUCUGGCCUGGUUUAAAUGUAACGCGUCCAAACGCAGGAAGAUGGUCUAAAAUCACAAGCUUGCCUGUUAGCUUACAUAAAUCACACUAAAUCUGCAUAAGAGCUAGUCAGCAGUCCAGCUCCAGAAACACGGAAGGCGGUCACGUCCGUCCUUGAAUCGCACUCUCGCCCUCGGCACACAGUUUUGUUCUCAUUUACCGUCACGGAUUAACCAUAAAUUUGUAGUUGUAGUUUAAAGGUUAAUAAGUGUUACAGCAUGUCGCCCUGUUUGUUUUUCAGUCCGAAUCUUGUAAUUAAUACGUAGGCUUGCAUUCCUUUGGUUCCUAAAUGUUUCUUGACCUUUGAUAUGUCUGUCAAAGUAUACACGCUUUUAGAAACGAGUGACGCAUGAAGCCUACUUAAUGCGCACCUUGUGGGGGUGGGUAGACAGUCUGAAGAGAACAAAGGAUAAGAUGCUGUAAGAGGAACUAACAACAGGAGACCCACUUUAGCUUGGGUAGUCCAGGAAUGCUUCUCGGAGGAAGUGACGCUUACAGUGAGAUCUGAAGGAUAUAAAGGAGCCAGCAAGGUGAAGCACCUGCACUGAGGUCCGAAGGCAGCUACGGGUGUUGCCCUCCCUUCUGCAUGGAAGAAAAGUCUGCAGAGCUCAGAGGCCUGUGAUUACAAAGAUUACAAAGUCCCUCGGUGGCUUCCUGUUUAUUACCUUGGAAGCGUCAAGUUACUAUUGAUGUAAUAAACAAAGUUUCCAUCCAUAAAAAGGAAGAUUGGAAUAAUUUCCCACCAAGGAAGCCUCAGAAUUAUGCAAUGCUUUGGGAAGGAUAUGUAAUUACUCUUUUCUCCCCUUUUUCUUGCUUUCCUUCCUCCCCCUCCUCCUCCACAAAUCUCUCCUUCCCUUCUUCCUUGGAUCUUUCCUCUCUUCCUUCCUUCCUUUCUUUCUUUCCUUCCUUCCUUCCUUCCUUCCCCAGACUUAUUUGUUGAAUGUCUCCCAUGCAUUAAGACUCCACUGUAGGGGCUGGCCCUGGGGCUGAGUGGGUUAAGUUCGCAAGUUCUGCUGCAGGCAGCCCAGUGUUUCAUUGGUUCGAAUCCUGGGUGCGGACAUGGC